ensembl:lncRNA
CUGUGUGCCUUUGCUUCUCUGUAGAAGAAAAGCUACACAGACAAAAAAAAAAAAAAAAAGAGAGAAGGAAAACAAUAGCUUGAAAAAUGGAAUGAGGCUGUUAUUAAAGAAUUUACAGAGAAGGAAAGAAUGGAAAAAUUAAUUCUGCAAGAGAUGUGAAACAAUACAAGGAUGAACAAAAAUUAAGACUCUGAAGAGCUCCAAGUCAGCAGUGUUCGACUCACCAAAAUGCAGGUUGGCCUUUUUCAUAGGAGGGGUUGAUCUCAUUCAGUUUCAUCAUCAGAACAAACAGGACAUGUUACAAUUCAUAUUCUUUUAGUGUUUCCUGUACAAAACGACAAACUAUCAGAACUUGGUACCAUGGUGUCCACACAACACACCAUACUGAUAAAGACAGGCAAAAGUAGAAGGGAAAAGAGCAGAUGUAGAGGCUUAGGCAAGAAAUAAUAUAUUAAACUUCCAAUUCCCCCAUUUUCUUAUAGAGCAAAUUCUCUAAUUUGGGCUAGUACCCAGAAGAAAAAAAAAAUAGUUUGGGAAGGUCCUCUUGGAGUGCAGCUUUCUACACUAGUGACAAACUCCACGGGUGAAUCAAGUUUCUAAGGGCCUUGUCCGGGCAAGAAUAAGGGAGUAGUGAGGGCUGAUUACUCCCUUUGGGCAUAAAGCAAAGUACUGAAACAAGGCUAGCAGGGCUAAGAGCUUCACCUCUGACAUAGAUCAGGUAGGUAUCAGAAGUCCAGACCUGAAUGUAAAUGGAGACCCUGGACCAUAGGCACGUGCAUGGUUGCAUCCCAGGUGUUGUGGGUCCAAGCAAUUACGGCCUAUUAAUGCACUAAGGUUCCUGCAGAAAGUUUUGGGUAUCACUCAAGAUGGAGAAGGAUGGAAGCAAUAGAUUUCUUUGUUGUGUUUCCUCAUAAAUUAUUAUGUUAGAACAAGAUCAUUCCUCAAACAGCCAGCUUUGCUGGCUGAAACAAAUUAAGCUAAGUCUCAAAGUUGCCUAUUGUGGCCUUUUCAACUAUCAUACCAGACAACUCAGCAAUUUUAUGCAGAAUUCCUCAAAUUAAACACAACAUACUUUUUUCUUUCCAUCUUUCUUCUGUACCUUCUAACUGUUGAGACCAGAUCUUAGGAUAAUGAGAUCUCAUUUAGGAAGUUUCUCAGCUAGCUUCUCCUCUGCCUGACAUGACUUGCACUUUGGAAACUUCUGUAUCAACCAAUCUCAGUUACUGUGUGUAGAAAAGGAAAAUCCCUAUACCAGGCUCCAAUGUCAGAUAAUUCCAUGUGAAAAACACAGCACUGUGCUUAUCAUGUUGGCAAUGACUAAUUGCAACAGUUUUCAUAAUCUUUCAUUUUCAUGUGUUCUGACUAUCAGACCGUGACACUGUCUUGCACUUUGUUUCAGAUACAGAAAGCUACUGCAGCAUCUCCACAGAUGCCCUUGUUACAAACACCCGGCCAAUGGAAACUCUGACUCUCAAGUUGUCUGUUGUGAAGUGCUAAAUUGAACUGUAUUCUAAGUGCUAAACUGAACUGUAUGACUACAGAGUUAAAAGACUGUAAGGAAUUGGCUGAUGGCAGUGUGAUGUUCCUCCUCAUAAAAGAGACACAAGUUGUCAACAGUCUUAGAACAGUUCCACUUAGCAUGAUGCAUGCGACUCUUGGAAACACUUCUUUAUACUCAGGAAAUAAAAAACACAAUAGCUGGCUUUCAAUUUAGCCACAGGAUGAGAAGGUCUAGCCAUUAAAAAUCAAUUGUCAGAUUGGAAAAGUGUAAUAGUAAACUUGAACUACAUUGCAUUGUUUUUAGGCUUAUUGUUUCCAAAAUCACAGAACUGUAGGGAUUGGAAGUGACCUCUGGGGAUCAUCAAGCCCAACAGCCCUGUUAAAGCAUGUUCCCUACAGUAAGGAAGAAAGUGCAUAGGAUAGUGUUCAGUCAGGUCUUGAAAAUCUCCAGAGAAGGAGAGUCUACAGCCUCUCUAGGAAGCCUGUUCCACUGCUCUAUAACCCUCACUAUAAAGAAGGGUUAUGUCCUCAAGUCUGCAUGGAACUUCUUGUGUUACAGUUUUUGCCUGUUGCCCCUUGUCCUGUCACUGCACACCACUGAAGAGUCUGCCCCCAUCUACUUGUCUUCCCCACUUUAUAUAAAGUUAUGAGAUCGCCUCUCAGUUUUCUCUUCUCCUGACUGAAGAGACCCAGGUCUCUCAGCCUUUCCUUACAACAGAGAUGUUCCAGGGCACUCAUCAUCUUUACAGCUCUCUGCUGAACUCUCUUCAGAAAAUCCCUGUCUUUUUUGAAGUGAGUAGCCCAGAACUGGACACAGUACUCCAGAUGGGGUCUCACCAAGGCAGAGUUGAGGGGUAGGAGAGCCUUCCUCGACUUGCUAGCCACACUCUUUUAAUGCACCUCAGGAUACUGUCGGCCUUCACAAGGGCACACUGCUGGUUCAUGGCCAACCUGUUGUCCACCAGGACCCAUGACUCUUUCUCCACAGGUCAUCUUCCUUUCCAGCUGGCCAUCUCCUAACCUGUACUGAUGCAUGCAGUUAUUCCUCCCCGGGUGUAGGACCCUACAUUUGUUGAACCUCAUAAGGCUCCUCUCCACCCAACUCACCAGCCUAUCCAAGUCUUGUUGAACAGUACUAUAACCAUAUGGUAUGUCAGCCAUUUGUCCCAGCUACAUAUCUUGUACACCUUCAGUCUCAUGAGUCAGUCUUGAACUUGCUCUGCCCUUACAAUGGGGAAAAGUUUGCUCCCCAAGUUCCCAUUGAAAGGUUUAAGUUCAAGGAUGUGAGAAUCCCAGCUGCCAGUGAAGACAGAGGCAAAGAACUCACUGAGUACUUUAGGCUUCUCUGUAUCUCUCGUAGCCACUUCUCUUCCAUUUAGCAGAGGAGGUAUACUCCCUUUAGCCUGUCUCUUCCAGCCUUUAUACUCGUAGAAUCCCUUCUUGCCAUUUUUUUAACAUCCUUCACUGUCACAGAGUUAUCUCUAGAUGAAAGGUGAAAAGGGUAGGAAGAUAGUAGAUG